UGUUGAACGCGAAGAACCUUACCAGGUCUUGACAUCCUCUGACAACCCUAGAGAUAGGGCUUCCCCUUCGGGGGCAGAGUGACAGGUGGUGCAUGGUUGUCGUCAGCUCGUGUCGUGAGAUGUUGGGUUAAGUCCCGCAACGAGCGCAACCCUUGAUCUUAGUUGCCAUCAUUAAGUUGGGCACUCUAAGGUGACUGCCGGUGACAAACCGGAGGAAGGUGGGGAUGACGUCAAAUCAUCAUGCCCCUUAUGACCUGGGCUACACACGUGCUACAAUGGACGGUACAAAGAGUCGCAAGACCGCGAGGUGGAGCUAAUCUCAUAAAACCGUUCUCAGUUCGGAUUGUAGGCUGCAACUCGCCUACAUGAAGCUGGAAUCGGCUAGUAAUCGCGGAUCAGCAUGCCGCGGUGAAUACGUUCCCGGGUCUUGUACACACGCA
rnacentral:rRNA from 1 species